CUAGUUACCUGACAAAAGAGUUGUCAUGAUCUUGAAGGUGCUUUCCCCAGGGUGUAAGGCUUAUCCACUGCACUUCUGAAAAGCUGAUGGCUGCGAUUUCCCCACCUGUGGGAGGGAAUUGGUGCUGGUUGUGGGGGGGCGGGGGUUUGAGUUGCCGCUCUCUCCUGAU